UACAGAGGGGGCAAGCGUUGUUCGGAAUUACUGGGCGUAAAGGGUUCGUAGGUGGCCAACUAAGUCAGACGUGAAAUCCCUCAGCUUAACUGGGGAACUGCGUCUGAUACUGAUUGGCUUGAGUGCAGGAGAGGAACGCGGAAUUCCAGGUGUAGCGGUGAAAUGCGUAGAUAUCUGGAGGAACACCGGUGGCGAAGGCGGCGUUCUGGACUGCAACUGACACUGAGGAACGAAAGCCAGGGGAGCAAACGGG
rnacentral:rRNA from 1 species